rnacentral:rRNA from 1 species
UAAAGAAUUUCGGUAUGGGAUGGGGAUGCGUUCCAUUAGUUAGUUGGCGGGGUAACGGCCCACCAAGACAACGAUGGAUAGGGGUUCUGAGAGGAAGGUCCCCCACAUUGGAAGUGAGACACGGUCCAAACUCCUACGGGAGGCAGCAGUGAGGAAUAUUGGUCAAUGGACGAGAGUCUGAACCAGCCAAGUAGCGUGAAGGAUGACUGCCCUACGGGUUGUAAACUUCUUUUAUAUGGGAAUAAAAUGUUCCACGUGUGGGAUUUUGUAUGUACCAUAUGAAUAAGGAUCGGCUAACUCCGUGCCAGCAGCCGCGGUAAUACGGAGGAUCCGAGCGUUAUCCGGAUUUAUUGGGUUUAAAGGGAGCGUAGGUGGAUUGUUAAGUCAGUUGUGAAAGUUUGCGGCUCAACCGUAAAAUUGCAGUUGAAACUGGCAGUCUUGAGUACAGUAGAGGUGGGCGGAAUUCGUGGUGUAGCGGUGAAAUGCUUAGAUAUCACGAAGAACUCCGAUUGCGAAGGCAGCUCACUGGACUGCAACUGACACUGAGGCUCGAAAGUGUGGGUAUCAAACAGGAUUAGAUACCCUGGUAGUCCACACAGUAAACGAUGAAUACUCGCU